UGCUGUUGCCAUAGUAGUAGCGGAGCUAGGCGUCAUCAGUGAUUGUGACAAUGAUGGUGAUGAUGGUGAUGGUGGUGGUUUCUGACCUCAGAGUCUUCUUCAGCACUUUGUCCUCUGCAGCAAAGCAGACCCUUGUGUGCCUCCUAGACUCCAUAACAGGAACAUCUGCUAGAGUCCAUAGCACACCAAUCUGGCUUCUGAGUCUGGCUCCUUUGAGUGGUGGAAGGCACUUUGCGGGUUGUCGCUCUGAGGGAGGGAAGUGGGAGGAGCUGUGGCCCCCCUUUACCCCUGCAGCUUGACCCUGCUUCAGUCUGGGGUGUCUACUAAGCGGAACUGGAGCUUGGGGCUGGGUGAAGUGCUUGGAGAGGAGAGCGACGCCUUCCUCUGGCUCUGAGCUGCACAGCCCUUGCUCUUAGCAGCCCACGUUUCUAAGAUAUGGGUUCCAUCCCCAGAUCUCGGCAGAGCCUCUCCGGGCCGCGUCCCACACUUGUGCCCCUUUGGUGCCGCACACCAUCUGAGAAGCACCAUUUGGCUGCUGCAGGCCAUGAGUGCCUCUCAAGGGGUUCCUGGUUCAAAACCUGCAGGCAGGAGAGGAGGAGGAGAUGGAGAGCAGGAAGCAGAGAACUCGUGACCGGGUCUUCUGGGAGACUGACUGUCCAGUGUCUGGUGGGACCUGGAUGCUGCCAGCUCCCACCCCAGGUCCCGAGGACCCCCUGCUGGGGUGGGGGGCGCCAGAAGUGACUGCUGUGUCCAUGCUGGUCUGACAACUCUAGAGUCUGGGCCCCUCAUGGUCUAUGCUGGACAGUGCCCAGGGCUUCCCUGCUCUGCCUUGUUCCCUGCCAUGGAACUCAAAUCCACACUCCCCACGGCACAGCUGCCAUCUGGACAGCAGCUCGGGUUUCUGAGGGGCUGAAGGGUGCUAUGUUGUGGUAACGUUUGGGCAAGGAAGUGUCCACCUCUCCAGCACCCCAUGGAGCACCCCACAACAUGACCACUUCUGGAGACGUCAUGGAGGACAUCUGCUGUCCCCUGGAGGAGAUGCCCCACAUCCACGAUGGUGGGGUUCAAGGACCUUCCCAGGCCUGCCUCUGUCCGCGUCCUAGAGGGUAACUGCGUGUCCCCAGCACAGCUAGAGCCAGAAGGCAAGACAUCAGUGAGCACCCGCCUGGCUGCUGUGACCGAGGAGCCUUUCUUCCUUUGCAAGCCCAGUGGUGGGUCCAUGUCUGUGCCUGGGGCUUUGCAGCCAGGCUGGGACGCUGUCAUCAGAUGACAAUGCCCGGCGGGAACAAUGCACGUAUUGUCAUGGCCAGCCCUGGCUCCGAGCGGGAAAUUGUCCAGAUUUGGAACUGAACCAACACCAGUCUUUUAAAAUGACUCAGGGGCUUCCUCCUUUUGCUAUGUUUUGGAAAAUCCGAGUAAGAUCAUCAGCACCUGGCCCUUGAGCCAUCUGCCACCCGCUCACCUGCAGACUCUGUGGACAUGGACUCUUUUUGGAGCAGGGUAAGUUCUGUGACUUCCAUUUCUGAUAUAUUUUUCGAUGUCCUUUUGCGCCAGAUUUCGGACUUCUCACUUAUCCCAAAAUGUGUCCGUUUGUUACCACAAAGCCUUCCUUAAA